UACGUAGGGGGCAAGCGUUGUCCGGAAUCAUUGGGCGUAAAGAGCGCGUAGGCGGCCCUGUAAGUCCGCUGUGAAAGUCAAGGGCUCAACCCUUGAAUGCCGGUGGAUACUGCAGGGCUAGAGUCCGGAAGAGGCGAGUGGAAUUCCUGGUGUAGCGGUGAAAUGCGCAGAUAUCAGGAGGAACACCGAUGGCGAAGGCAGCUCGUGG
rnacentral:rRNA from 1 species